UACGGAGGGGGCUAGCGUUGUUCGGAAUUACUGGGCGUAAAGCGCGCGUAGGCGGCUUUGUAAGUCAGAGGUGAAAGCCUGGAGCUCAACUCCAGAACUGCCUUUGAGACUGCAUCGCUUGAAUCAUGGAGAGGUUAGUGGAAUUCCGAGUGUAGAGGUGAAAUUCGUAGAUAUUCGGAAGAACACCAGUGGCGAAGGCGGCUACACUGG
rnacentral:rRNA from 1 species